rnacentral:rRNA from 1 species
AAUGAACGCUGGCGGCAGGCCUAACACAUGCAAGUCGAACGAGUGGCGGACGGGUGAGUAAUGUCUGGGAAACUGCCCGAUGGAGGGGGAUAACUACUGGAAACGGUAGCUAAUACCGCAUACCAUCGGAUGUGCCCAGAUGGGAUUAGCUAGUAGGUGGGGUAACGGCUCACCUAGGCGACGAGCCCUAGCUGGUCUGAGAGGAUGACCAGCAACACUGGAACGAGGCAACGGUCCAGACUCCUACGGGAGGCAGCAGUGGGGAAUAUUGCCCACUGGGCUAAAGCCGGAUGCAGCCAUGCCGCGUGGAUGAAGAAGGCCUACGGGUGGUAAAGUACUUUCAGCGAGGAGGCGUUACUCGCAGAAGAAGCCCCGGCUAACUCCGUGCCAGCAGCCGCGGUAAUAC